UCUUCAGGAAAAUAUCUGGUUUUGGAGUGAUGGAUCACCGUUUGCAUACAGUAACUGGCAAACUGGAGAACCAAACAAUUCAGGAGGAGCUGAACAUUGUGUGGAGAUGGGCAAUUCAGCUUAUCAACGCUGGAAUGAUGCACACUGCAGUGCUCUACUCAACUUCAUCUGCAAAUUGGAAAUUGAAAAUUGAAAUAAACUUUAAACCACAAAUGUA